rnacentral:tRNA from 6 species
CGGGCUGUAGCAUAGUGGUAGUGUGCGCGAUUCGGGUUCGCGUGGUCUGGGUUCGAUUCCCAGCAGCCCGA